GGAUGACCAGGUGGUCGGAGCUUUUCGAGUAAAGUGAAACAGGAAGGAUCGCGGUCACCUUGACGUGUAAGGGAGUUCUUCAGAAAAUGGAACACAUGUAAUCCAUACUAGGCAAGAUGAUGGAGUUAUAAAAAGAACGAAGAUGACAUACUUCUGGAUCUGCAGCAUGUUUUUGGAUGCUAGACUCUGGCACCAUAUCACUAUGAGAAUGAAAAGAAAUAAAGAACAAUGACACACCUUAGACCCAC